GACGGGGGAUGCAAGCGUUAUCCGGAAUCACUGGGCGUAAAGCGUCUGUAGGUGGUGAUGCAAGACACUGGAGCAAAACUCUGACUCAACCGGAGGAAAGCCAGUGAAACUGCAUGACUAGAGUGUGGGAGAGGUAGAAGGAAUUCCCUGAGUAGCGGUGAAAUGCGUAGAUACAGGGAAGAACACCGGAGGCGAAAGCGUUCUACUGGAAUACAACUGACACUGAGAGACGAAAGCUAGGGGAGCGAAUGGG
rnacentral:rRNA from 1 species